rnacentral:lncRNA from 1 species
GGGAUCUGCGAGGCUGAACAAAGAGACGCGGGGGUGCCGCGAGUAUUGUGGAAACCUGAGCUGAAGUAUCGUGAGACUUACAGCGUGAUAACGACACCAAAAAUUCUCCAUCAUCUUGUCUUUGACGUGAUCCACUGAUCGGAAUCUGUUUGUUCACUGAUCGGAAAGGACA